CAGGCCUAACACAUGCAAGUCGAACGAUGGUCUUCGGAUCAUAGUGGCGCACGGGUGCGUAACGCGUGGGAAUCUGCCCUGGGGUCUGGGAUAACCGUUGGAAACGACGGCUAAUACCGGAUGAUGAUGAAAAUCCAAAGAUUUAUCGCCCUGGGAUGAGCCCGCGUUGGAUUAGGUAGUUGGUGGGGUAAAGGCCUACCAAGCCGACGAUCCUUAGCUGGUCUGAGAGGAUGAUCAGCCACACUGGGACUGAGACACGGCCCAGACUCCUACGGGAGGCAGCAGUGGGGAAUAUUGGACAAUGGGCGAAAGCCUGAUCCAGCAAUGCCGCGUGAGUGAUGAAGGCCUUAGGGUUGUAAAGCUCUUUUACCAGGGAUGAUAAUGACAGUACCUGGAGAAUAAGCUCCGGCUAACUCCGUGCCAGCAGCCGCGGUAAU
rnacentral:rRNA from 1 species